CCCUUAGAUAUCCUGGGCUGCACGCGCGCUACACUGAUGUGUUCAAUAAGCACCUAACCUACUCCGAAGGGACUGGGUAACCUUUGCAAAGCACAUCGUGAUGGGGAUAGAUUAUUGCAAUUAUUAGUCUUGAACGAGGAAUUCCUAGUAAGCGCAAGUCAUCAGCUUGUGUUGAUUACGUCCCUGCCCUUUGUACACACCGCCUGUCGCUCCUACCGAUUGAGUGAUCCGGUGAAUGCUUCGGAGUGUGAACUCUACAGUUUCUGUUUUGUUCGCGCAAAGUUGAAUAAACCUUAUCACUUAGAGGAAGGAGAAGUCGUAACA
rnacentral:rRNA from 1 species